ensembl:lncRNA
CUCUUAGUGCAGGAGUCACAACUGGCAAUUCCAAAGCUCCUAGAAGCUUCACAAGUUGGGACACAACUCCUGUUUUUCACAACCAAGUCAAUUUGUUCAUUUGGACCGGCAGUAAGGACGAGCAUCUGGUGUAUUAGCAUUCUCAUUGGUGGACAUGAUUAUGAGACAGAGGAAGAAAGCUGUGAAACGGGCCUGGGCUUCCACAGGAGGCUAUGCGGGGAUCGGCAGCUGUGGGGUGGCUGGGCUGAAAGCGACCACCUUGGCUCCGACUGAUUCCAUAUCUUCUGGAAGGUGCCACUAUGUUCCCUAGUGCCAGCCAUGAAAGCUGAUUGUGGUACACCUGGUCCAGCCACAGACUCUCAGGGAGCUGGCACCUGUGCCAGUGCCUGGAACUGCCCACCCCACUGCAGCUGGCAUGCCUGGCUGUGCACAGUGGCUGGACUGAAUGCUCGCUCACACACCCCUUGCUGCUCUGUGCCUGGCUUGCCCUUGGCAGGCAUGCAAUCCAGGUUCUUCCCGCCUGCUGCACAAACAACGUUCAUCUGCUGAGACCAUGACAUUGCAGUGAAGAAAGGGUUUAAUUAACACUUGGCUGGCCAUGCCACAUGGAAGACAGUUGUUACUCAAAUCAAUCUCCCCAGAAAUUUGUAGACUAGGGUUUUCCAAGGAGAGUUUGUUGGCCAAAGGGGUCCAGAAGGGGGCAUGGUGAUUGGUUGAGGAUGCAGUUAUGGGGUGUGGAAAAUGAUCCUCAUGUGCUGAGGCUGUUUCUGAGUGGGGUUUACUACAGGAGUCCAGGUCCAAUGUCUAGGUCCAUGUGAAACCAUCUUGGUUGUCAGAAAUGCAAAGCCUUAAAAGACAUCUCAAAAGGUCAAUCUUAGGUUCUACAAGAGUGAUGUUAUCUGCAGGAGUAAUUGGGGACGUUGUAAAUUUUGGGAUCUCCAGAAUAAUGACUAGUAAUUAUCUAACUAGGCCUACAUCUAGGAGAAUUCAGGUGCCUUUCAUCCUCCUAACUUUGUGGCCUUUCGUUAGUUUUACAAAGGAAGUUUAGGUUUUGGGAAGGGCCAUUAUCAUUUAAACUGUAAACUAAAUUUCUCCCAAAGUAAGCUUGGUCUAUACCCAGGAAUGAAUGAAGGCAGCCAGCCUGUGAGGCUAGAAGCAGGAUGAACUCAGCCACAUCGGGUAUCUCUUAUUGUCGUAGUUUUGCAAAGGCAGUUUCAGUUUUGGUGCCACAUUUGAGAAAUAUUUUGCCUCUUCUAAGCUCAUGAAGACAUUAUCCUAUAUUUCUUACAGAAACUUGAUUUUCUCAGCUUUCAUGAAGUAGGGGGCCAAGGGUUCUUGUUUAUAUGCCUGGUGCGGUGACCCAGCACCACGUACCUUUCCCACUGAAUUGCAAUGGAGUUCCCUCUCUCCCCUUUAAGGUGUGGGAGACUUGUGGGUCUGUUUCCGAACUCCUCUUCCUAUUGCACUGGUCUGUCUCCAUAUUCUAGAAUCAGUACUGCACUGUCUUAAUUUCUGUAGUUUUCUAAAAGGCUUUCUAUUCAUGGUUUAAAUAUGUGAGCUUUGGUCUACUUCCCUAUGUCCUUGGGCAUCUAGGCUCUUUGUAUUUCCAUACACAUUUUAGAAUCAGCUUGUCUGCUUGGAGUGAGCCUAGCCAGUGGGGAAAAAAAAGAAGAAUCAGCUUGUCAAUUCCGCCCCCCCCCGCCCCCCCCACCAACACAACAACAGAAAACCAAGGGAGUUUUACUGGGAUUACUUUUAAUUACAUUGAAUCUAUAGAUCAAUUUUGGGAGAAUUGACAUCUUAACAACAUUGAGUUUCCAGUCAAUGAACAGGAUACAUCUUAUUUACUUAAGUAUUUCAAACAUUUUCUUAUUAAUGUUUUGCAGUUUUUGGUAUAAAAGUUUUACACACUUCUCAUUACAUUUAUAUAGUGACCUUGAUAAAUUAUUUUAUGAAUAGUCUGUUUCUAGGUUUAUUUGAAUUUUACCAGUUGGUUUUUCUCAUUUGUUUUGUUAAUACGAACAACCACAUUGACUUUUAAAUGUUAAACUACCCUUUUAUUCCUGAAAUAAACUACCCUUGUUCAAGAUGUAUUAUCCUUUUUCAUAUGUACUUGCAUUCGAUUUACCAAAAUUUUCUCCUAUGUUCAUGAAAUAUAUUAGUUUGUGGUUUCCUUUUUUAAAAUAAUGCACUUGUAGGGUUAGAAAUAAAAAUUCUGAUGGC